CAGAGGAUAUUUUAUUAUAAAAUGUUAAUUUUGGAGAUUAAUGAAGGGAUUAUUUAUCUUUUCUCUGA
rnacentral:tRNA from 1 species